rnacentral:snoRNA from 14 species
UCCAAUGAUGCGGUAAUUUGCGGUUGAACCAUCCGCUGUGAAGCUCUCGCCUGGGUUUCUCAUACAGCGGUUAGAUAAUGAUAGCCAUUUCUUACAUAUUCUGAAU